GCAUUUAGUUGAAGCUGCAGGGGAGUGAGGGAGAGGAGGAUAGGAAGCAGGAAAGCGGGAGAGCUCGAGGGACAAGGGGGCUCGGUGUGUUUACACCAGGCACGGGCUACGAGCGUCCAUCCCGGCCCCUGGCUUGCGCUCCCGAAGAGGAGAGCAAGGCUGUUCUGGGAUCCGGCCGUCGUGCGGCAAGAGGCUUGUCUGUCCGGGUUGCCGGAACCAGGAGAACCCAGAGGGAAACCGAGGGAAAGGAGCGGCGCGUUUUACUAGAGAGAGCGCGAGCGGAAGAGGCGAGAGCAGGAGCGCGCGAGGGAGCAUCGAGCGCAGCGGAGACAUGAGGACCUACUGGCUGCACAGCGUCUGGGUGCUGGGCUUUUUCCUGUCCCUCUUCUCAUUGCAAGGUAAGUGAAACCAAUUUUUACAGCACAGCAAUGGUUACUGGAAUCUGUCAACAUGUAGUGACUUUCUUCACUGAAUAUGCCACGGGGAGACAUUUCAAUAUCUUCCAUCACCCCCGCUUGACUUGUGAGUCUUUAUCCAGAAUUUCUAAAUAACCAAUAAGUAACCUAGGAUUAAGAAAUAUUUAAAUGUUUACAUUUGUAUCUCUAUGUGAUGUUUAGUUAUAUCUUUAAGGUAAGUGGGCCUAUUUAAGUCUUGAUUUUAAUAAGAAAAAACUAAAAGAAUAUUAUUCUCUUUACAGCAAAAUCCAUGAUAAAUUUCCAUUAAAGAACAAUCUUCUUUAAUGUGUUUUUCCUUAUUUAAUUUACAUUAAAUACAUUUGGAGGGGAAUCUUAAGAUACGCAUCUCUGAUUGUUUGAAGCACACCUCUCUGUACACACAUAGCGCUUCUCUUUUGUUCCUUUUCCCCUUAAAAGAUCGACUCAAAGGUAUGAAUUGGCAUGGUUUUUGGUGUGCUCUAGAGUGUAGGAUAUUAAAAUACAUGGCUUCUUUCCUGUUGCGUCAUCCAAUUCUACUCUGAUGUCAGCAUUUUAAAGUUGUAGAAAGUGAGUUCUUAGCAGUGCAGUGUUUAGUAGAAUUUAGUUGGCAAAAUGGGAGAAAAAAUAGUGAAAAGAGGGAAAAGAAUACUUGAGAACUCUCAAGUAAGUAUUAGAACAGUGACUUCUCCUAGAAAAUUGGCAGUGACUCCUCUUGGCCUCUGGCUGAGUUUGGCCACUCUUUGACUUUUCAUAUUUAGCAAUUAUUCAAUUCCUUAUCCUGCUUUCCAAAAUCAGUUUUUUUUUUCUGCAGAGAAUGCAUCAGCCAUGUUUUAUUUUGCCAUUUGCAUUUACUCUGAGCAUUUCAGAUGUUCCAGUGAACUGAGUUGUGUGCCACUUGUGUGUAAUUUUUGGUACAGGUACCCCUGUCCUUCACAGAUAAGUGACACACCUCCUUAUUCAUAAUAAUUAUCCUAGCUGAUGGAGCUCAUCGAGCCAGCCCCUCUGCUCACCUGAUGGGGACAGAAGUUUCUGAGGUGCUGCUGAUUUCUUAUUUGAAUUCUGUCAUCAAUAUCCAUGUGUGGAAUUAUUAAUUACAACACACAAUGGAAUGGUCUUAGAGCAAAAGGUUGAACAGUUUUACCUGAAGAUCACUGUUGGAAUUGGCCCUCUGUGAUACAUUAUUAUAAACAUUUCAUUGUGUUUAAUUGUUGAGUGCCUCACUCAAUAAUUUACUAUUGUGUGUCAAAAUGGGUCUUGCUCUAUAUGGUAAAUGUAGGAUGACUGUAUUGCUGUGUAUAAUGUAGUUUCUAAAUUCAGAAGUGAAAAUGGCCCAAGUAUGUCUGCUUUUAAACACACACACACACACACACACACACACACACACGAUAGUACUGAUGUAAAGAAAGCAACCAUGAGAUUUCGAAUUCAUGUCAGCUCCACUAUAGCAUCAUGGAUUUUAUCAUAAUAUUUGUAUAGCACGAUAUAAAAAGAGCACUAGCUUUAGAGUCAUAAAGUCAGAGCCUAAACCUAGGUUCUACCUUUUACCAUCUUAUGAUGUGGAGUCAGGCACUUAAUCUUGCUGGGUCUCAGUUAUUUUUUAAUAGGUAAACUGGAUAUAAUGGUAAUUAUUUUCUGAAGUUAUAAUGAAUAUGCUGAGAAUAAAAUUUCAUGAAAUAUUAUUUGUAAAAUUCCUGAUACAUCAUAGAUUAUCAAUAAAUGGUAGCUGAUGAAGGAGGAGAAGAAAAAAAGAGGAAGAAGUUAAGGUGGUUGUGGUGGUGGUGGUGGUAGUAAUGGUGAUGGUAAUGAUGUUCUGAGCCUGGAAAUAUCAAUGUCAUAGCUUCUUUUAGGCAUUGAUUUUGUUGUGUCUUUAUGAUUUCCAUGUAAAUGUGAACGACUACCUAACAGAGAAUUUUAAUUGCCAAACUCUUGAUGUUGUUUACAACCGUAUUAUAAAAAGUAACAGAUGGUUUUAUUAUUAGACAUUAGUUAUAGAUUCUCAGUAGAAAAGAUCCAGUUGUGAUUAAGUGUUGCCAAACUGGCUAGGUCCUAAUGAAGCAACUUUUGGAGUGUGACUGCUGGGAUCUCAGCUGGGCUCCUGUAUUGCUAACUGGGCAAGUGAACCAGUGAGUGACCAAAGAAAGAGUAUUUCAAGCAUGAAAGUAAUGAAGCCUUCCCUUCCAGCACUCACUUCUCACCAUUUUUUUAGAGAACUGUGACAUUUUUUUACCAGGAUGAGUCUUCAUAUUUCUGCCAUGCUCUCACCUCCACUGUGGGCAAGAAGAGCAGUAAGAAUAAUAGCUAACAUUUAUGUACUGCUUCCUCUGUGCCAGGCACCAUUCUACAUGGUUACAUGUGUUUAUUUAAACUGCACAAUAAAAGUUUGAGACAGGCAUGGUUAUUGAUCGCUUUUUAGAUAGGAAACUUUGUUGUAAAAUAUUUGAGUAAUUUUUCCAAAAUAUUUGAUCUUCAAGCUUGUUGCUGUAAACCACUAUGAAUAUUGGCCUUAGACUGAGAGAUCUAAAAUUUCUUUACCUUUGAGUUAAGCAUACCUACUUUGGUAGUAUCUUUUUAAAUCAUAAAUAUCAUUAUUAUCACUGUAAUUUUUAAUCUCUUACUAAGGAUUACAUCCCAGGGGAUGUACAUACGUUAUCUAAUUGUACUCCCAUAAUAACCCCUCAAGGACUGUAUCUUUUCUUUUUUAUUUUAUAGUUGAAGAAAUAGCGCUCAGAUAAGUGACUCUACAAGACUGUGUGAUGCAGCUAGAGAGUGGCAGAGUCUGAUUUGAAGCCAGAUGUAUGUGACUCCAAGUCUACGCCCUUAUCUACCAUCCCAUGAUAACCACUAAACAACAGUAAAUAGGAUAUCCUUAGUGCAUGGUGUGACUAUUUCAGUGGUAUAUGAGUUGUGGGGACUUGUCUAUUUCAGGAAUGUGUUCUCUAUGUGGUGUCCCAGCUCGGUGUGGUGUCCCUUUACAGAAUAGCUCUGUGACAGAGCCUACGUCCAUGUGCCUAGGGCAGUGAUGAUAAAAGAUACUGAAUUUCUUAUGGUUGCUGACCACUCAGUGAUGCUGAGCAAGCCUCCAUUGGGCAGGUCUAUAGCCCUGUUUAUUUUUUUCCUACAUAUCAGUGUCAUGCAGGUCUAUACUAAAACGUGUCUGUAAUUUGGGUCCAUCUCCUGUUUUCACUUCACAUAAUCUAUCCUCUAUAGCAGUUCAAAACAUCUGAGUGGCAGACACUACUUCAAAAAUAUUCCCAUUUUCAUCAUCACCCAAAAGAAUUUCUAAAUCCUCACCAUCUCCUUUAUUUUGCUUAUAUUCUCAAAGACACUAGCUAUGGAUUUAUAAGAUAUGCUUCCCACAAGUAGCAUUAUUAAGUUAAUGUUUAUGCUCCUCUGAACUGUUUCAUUUGAGUACAAAGCUUUGAUGCUUCUUAAAACCUGUGUUGAUUCUUUACACACCUGUUUGAAUGAGUAUAUAAAAUAAUUUCUCAAAAUAGAUGUUGGUCAGGUCAUGGAGAGUGACAGCAUGAAGGUCCUGGGUAUCUGGGGAAAUGUAGCAGGCAGGAGUCAUUCUACUGGAAGAACAAGAAGAGAAGACCAUAAUAAGGCAGGAGAUAUUUUUGCCGAGUAGUCAAUUUCUCCUAGUGCCAAUGUGAUUUCUGUCACACUUUCUCUCUUAAUGAGUAAGGCAUAAGUUCUCUGGUAAUAAUUGUCUACUUUCAGAAGUUGCAUGUACGAUGAAAUGGUCUGCCUCGGGCUAUCUAUGUUGAUUGUUUUCGGGAAAAUAUAGGAUAAGCUAGGAACAUAUAUGGUACCCAUUACAUUCUCUUUUCCAAACCAGAUUUAUUUGUUUCAAGUUUGUUGGCUUAGGUCAAGAUGAGAGCAAGGGUAGAAUAAAACAGAUAGUAAGGUAGAUGGGUGUAUGUGUUUUCAUAACUUUAAGACUAAAAAACAAAAACCUCCAACCAAUAAUGUAAUGUGAGAGUGCUUUUAAAACUGCGUAGUGGUUAUUUUUAUGGGUUUUAUCAUUUCCCCUCAUACUAGAGACUGAAAGGAAGUCCAUAGAAACCAUGUAUAAUCACAGGAGGAAAUACACUGACCAAAUCUGAAGAAGUUUGAUGUGUAAUACUGUCAAGGAUUAGAGGAAGAGAAGGAAAUUCUCCAAUGGUUCUGUGUUCUUAUGAAGCAGAAUAAUGAUAAAGUGACUAUACGUGGAAAUUUCUUCCAUAAAAAUAAUACAUUAACCUAAACAUUUUAAUUGAUUUUUGCAGAACUCUUUACACACAAACACGUAUACACAAAAUUCAUUUUUCUCUAGUAUUUAUGUGGUUAGUACCUAAGACAUUUUGGAGAAAUUGUAUGUUUUCUUUAAUCUUCACUGAUAAAAUGUAUAGAAUGUACUCCAGUUGGUCCAUAUCCUUCAUGAUGGGACUUAGAAUUGAACUUAGCAUUUCAAGCAUUGUCUUACCAGGGCAACUCACAUUUAUGCAGAAAGAAAGUAAUUAUUCCAGGAACAUAUGGUAGGUAUUGUGGCUGUUCCCCAGAAGAGGAUGUUCUUUCAAUCAUACCUCAAGUUAGGCUCUAGGAGGUAGUAGUCUGGGUUGAUACACACGUGUACUGCAAUUAGAGAGCCUCCAUCCAUAACCUCUUCCUCCAACUUACCAACUAGAUGACCACGACCUCAUUGUUGUGGGGAUUAAGACAUUAAUUCAUGGAAAUAGCUCUGAUUCCCUCUGAAAAAAAAUAGUUAAGUGUCCAAGAUACUAGUUUUUAUAAUUAAACCUCACACAGGAUUGUAAAGGAAAUUUUCACAUACUUUUCAGUGUCUUAUCAUUACUGCUGUCACUAAUGCUGCCAUCAUUCUAUACAAAAAUUAUUUCCUCUGGGGCCUUUCUGCUUUUGACAGUGGUGAUGGCUCUAUAGAUUAAUUAUGGAGCUUUGCUUCCACACGGCACCACAUGUUUAACAUUCAUAUUUCUUCCUGAAGGAAAAGAAAUAUUUUUGACUAAAGUUUUUAAACUAUAGUAUUUAACUGCUGGUUUGCGCGAUUCAUCAAGUGUUUUCAUAAUCUGGUUACUCUCUUGGACUUGUAGAAUUUCAAAUUAGGAAGGCUAGAAUUGUAAAUUACUUUUGCAUAUACAGGCUGGGCCAUAUGUGUAAAGGAAAGUAGAAAAAAAUUAAAGAAAUGUCUUAGAUUGCUGAAGGGAAAUAAAGCAUCCACAAUUCAGAAUUGCUUCAAAUUAUGUGGCUAUUUGAGUUUUAAGUUUUAUUCUGAAUGAUUUAUUUUCUCAAAUGCAUAUUAGACCACCAAGAGUCUUAGACUUGUGAGGAUCUCAGGUCAUCUGAACCUAAACUUCAGUGCUAUGCAGUUUUAUGUGUCAUCCUUCUCUAGUAAUGAGCUAGCCUAUGUCUGAACACUUCCCUCAAAUCCAAGAUAGUCUUCAUUCUGUCUUUGGAUGAAUUUAUUAGAAAACACUUUCCUCUUUAGACCUCUAUUCUCGCUUCUGGUAUUUGCCAGCCUUGAUCUUUUCUCUCCUCUGUGAGACUCUCAGUUGUAGCUUUGGAAUUCUAUUCUUGGCUGGGCACGAUUGCUCACGCCUGGAAUCCCAGCACUUUGGGAGACUAAGGUGGGUGGAUCACAUGAGGUCAGGAAUCCGAGACCAGCCUGACCAACAUGGUAAAACCCUAUAUCUACUAAAAAUACAAAAUUAGCCAGGCGUGGUGGUGCAUGCCUGUAAUCCCAGCUACUUGGGAGGCUGAGGCAGGAGAAUCAAUUGAAGUUGGGAGAUGGAGACUGCAGUGAGCCGAGAUCAUGAAAUUGCACUCCAGCCUGGGCAACAAGAGCAAGACUUUGUCUCAAAAACAAAAUAAAUAAAUAAAUAAAAUAAAAUAGAAUGCUAUUCUUAAACACUAAAUAUAUUUCUCUCUGCCUUUCACAUUCAUCAAAUGAUUGAACUAAUGUUAUUAAUUCUCAAUAUAUCGCCUACGUAACUACUAGGAGUUUACUUGAGAACUUGACUAGAUAACCCAACAUACCUACUUCUGCAAAAAGACACAAUCUUAGCAGUUCAUGGAGGGGAGAGGGCAGACAUGCUGUUUCACUUCCCCUAGCAACGUUCUGAUUCAAUUUUGAUUGAGCAAAGUUAUGCCAGGACAAAUAGCUGCAGAUGUUCCUUUUUUCAGAAAAGUAUCACAGGACUGUACUUCUUUUAAAAUAGUUUUUUUUUUUUUCUUAAAGUGAUUACCUGUUGUUCUCUCAGGAAUGGUCUUUCCUAAAGAAGCUCUGGCUUGCACAUUGAUUUCAAAUUACAAAAAUAAAAACUGAGAAGAAGAGAGAGAGAAAAGUGAAGAAAAGAGUAGAAGGAAAGAAGAGAGGGAGACAGGAGGAAAUGGGAAAAGAAAAAAGAAGAAUUAAUUGAGAUUUAUCUUGGAUGUAGAACUAACCUAAAUUCAUAACUCAGAGAGUAAAAAGAUUUAAGCAAAAAUAGUUUUGAUUCAUAAUAGGAAGCUGAGCACUUUAUACGUGGCCAAUGUUGUUCUAAGGGCUUUAAAUAUAUUAAUCUUCCUAGUCUUUCCUAAACCCAUUGAAGUAAGUUUGAUCAUCCCCAUCUCUGCAAUUGAGGCAACUGAGAUGCAGAGAGGUCAAGUAAUUUGCUUAAAAUAACUCAGCUAAGAAAUGAUGGGGCUGGGAAUUGAGCCCAGGAAAUACUCUUUCAGAGUUUACACUUUUAAUAACACCUCCACCAACAACAAUAGCGAACAUUUACUGGUCAUUACUAACUAUCAGCUGCUCUUCUAAAUAUUUAAUCUCACAAAAAACUCUGGAGCAAGUCAAUAUUAUUAUUCCCUAUACGUAAAGAAACAGAGGCAUCAAUAUGUUAAAUCACUUACCCACAUUCACACAUCUAGUUAGUGGUGGUACUGGGAUUCAUAUCCAGCCCUGCCACUAUGCUAGAGAGAUAAAUUGUCACCAGGACCUUCAAGAUAAUGGUGGUCUUGUGGAUAAAAAGGGUAAGCACCUAAGCACUCAGCAUAUACUGCACUCCAAAAUGGUGUGUGAAUAUUUAGCCACAUAUCCGUGAGUAAAAAUUAUCAUAAUGCAAUCUGAUUACAGAAGCACAGACAGGACACUGAGUAGUUUAUCUGAUGAGGGACGAUAAUUUUUGUCUCAGAAAGUCUAGAUUGAAGAUAUAUAGAGCAGACAAUUGAAAAAGUGAAGGAAGGAAGCAAAGGUUUAAAGAGCUUUCAUUUUCUAGUCAAGUUGUCUUAAGAAGGAGAUAGUUCUGGAAUUUGGGGAAAGCAGAAUGGCUAAUUGAGGUUGAACAUGAAUCUCUAUAGAGCCAGGAACCCUGAUAAGUCCUGUACUAAGACAUUUUUAGGGUGCUCACCUGAUUCUCCUUGCACCUUUCUCUACUCUUUUAUGUUUAGGCUUUAUUCUUAUCCCAGUUAGAUUUUGAGAAAUUGAGUCAGAGAAUCAACAAUAAUGCAGACAUUUUAAAUAACAGGUCUUUCUUUCUACCCAUCUCCCUCAUCCUCAGUCUCAGUUUUCCUGACUGACAUUAAUCCAUGGUUACUAAAAAGCUUGCAGUCUCCCAACUCCCCCACAAGAGAGGGGGCUUUACUAUAUAUAAGUCUUUACUUGGUCAGUUUUGCAUUGGACCUGAAUCCAUAAUGUAACUUCUGCAUCAGUGCCCCCGCUGCUGUCUUUUAUGCCUCUCCUUCCCUGUAUGCUUGAGUGCAAAAAGUAAUUUCUACUUCCUCCUUCCCUUGUGAAGCUCACAUCAAACCUCUCCCUCUUUGAAUCUACUCUUGCUUUAAUUAGCUAUACCAGAAUUUUCCACACCUCUCUGGGGAUGGAUAUCACAUUAAAUAAAAUUGAUGUUCUCCCCAUGAGUUGCCAGUUUCUUAUUUUUCCAAAUAAAUUUAAUAAAAUAUCCCAUUUACUAUCACUAAAUUUCUUGAAUGAAAGGGCAGUUUUAUUUUCAAAAUAUAGGAACAACACCAUCUCAACAUAAAGGAAGUUCCCUUACAUCAGAAAGCAAUUGCCAUCACAAAAAUAUUUCAAGGUUGUUUUCCUUUAUCAUCACACGGCAGCAUUUGGGAAACGUUUAGCUAAUUACCUGUAGGUAUGCUCAAAUAGGCAUAGCUUUCUGUGAUCAAUUAUAAACUACCUCUUAGCAAAAGUCAUUUCUUAAGGAUUUGUGCUGGUACAUGACUUACCCAUAUCAUUGUUUCCACAGCUCAAAGCAAUGAAGUCAUAGUCUCACAGAUCAUUCGUGUUUGGGAACCAUUGAAAUCAUUAAGUCUUGGUCAUUUUUUCACUUGAAUUUAGGGCCAUAUAAUAUCUUUUGUGGAUUAACCAGAGCUAGUUAUUUCUGAGUCUCAUUUUUAUUUAUCCUUACUCUAUGUCAGGCCCUAUGUUAGACCUGGGGUUUACAAAGAGGACUAAAGUGGCAUCUUUGUUCUUGGGUAUUCGCUAACUCAACUUCACACCUAACUGCCUGCCUGCCCUCUGGACAUCAUUACUCCACUACAUCUCAUUGACUCUCACAGCCGAGCUGAGACUUACUAGUGAGGUGAGUCCCAGGGAACCCUUGAAUCAAAGGAAAGAAUAAUGAAAAAUUACUGAGCACCUACUAUACUUAGGCAUUUCACAUAGCAUAUCAGUGUAUGUUUUUUGUAUUAUCAAAAAAACCUUUUGAGUAGGUACAGUCUUCAAUAAUUUACCGAUGAGACAGCUAUCUAAGAGAGGUUCAGAAACUUGUCACAGGUUUAUUAAGGGUAGCCUAAGGACUGUUCUCAAGUUUUGUUUGUCUGAUUUCAAAGACCCUGAGUUUUUUUUACACAUCUAGCUGCCUUUAAGAGAGGAGAACACAAAGACCCAAUUUGUAUACCUAGUGGAAGCUGAGCCACGCUUGAUUUCUAUUAUAUCCAACCUUUAUGUUUACAUGAUUACCUUCUGCUCUUACCUUUGGUAUUGUUCGCUUGCUGCUAUUUACCUAAAACAUCUGCAAAGCUAUUUUAAAUCAGGAUAUAGGUUUCAGUUCAUAUUUUACAUCUUCAGUGAAGCACUCCCUGACCACUCCCCUAUAUAGUUACCUUCUCAUCACUAUUCCCUCUUCAUGUUAUAUUUUUUACCACUUACUGCAAUCUGUAAGUAUCUUAUACAAUUGCUUAUAUUCCUAACAUAAAGAGUAGUAUCUAGCACAAAACAUGCCCUUGAUAAAAUUAUUGAGGUACAUGUAUUUUUCAGAUAAAAUUAGCAUUGUUAUUUUUUAUUAGAAUACCGCAUCUUUGAAAAUUCUAAGUAUUCUUUUUCUCACAAUAGAUACGUUUCUGAAGAGUUCUAUAGUUUUCAUGCUUUUAAAAAAUAAACCAAAAUAUGAAUUUGAAAUUAUGUAACACAUGUAGCAAUUUUAAGAGACCUAUAAACCUUAAGCAAAAAAAACCCCUAUGUAAAUAGCCUUCUUUCAAUAAUUUACAUUUAUAUGUUUAUCUUAUAGGAAUGUAUCUUCCACAUCUCAAAAAUGACACAUAUUUAUGAUGUCUCAGUUAAUGAGGAGAAUUAGGUAUUCAGUUUCUAGUAAGUAAUGAACAUCUGGAUGCAGUUCUCCUCUGCUGUCAGCAGGGGUCUCAAAAAGCCUUUUACCCAUCAAAAUGUCUAUUAAAAAUUAGUGAGUUGUUUUGUUGUUAACAAAAUGGAACACACAUACUCUAAAAUUUGUUAAAUGCAUUUUGUUAAAUCUCUGUAUCUUGUUUCUAAAUGACACAUGUUUGGUUUUGCUUAUGUGUAUUGAUAACUGUUAUUUAAUAUUUACCUAGCACUAAGUUGAUAAGUAUAUCUUAACAAGCAUCAGAACACACAGUGUGAAAAUAGGACUGAUUUGUGUUUCUUGAGGUUCUUAACAUAUUUCCUGUGUUUAAACAAGUCCAAGGAAUUGCAUGAAACUAAUAGAAUUGGUAUAACAACAGCCUGCAACUCUUCAGUCUAACUCUUUCUAAAUUAUUCAGUGACUUGUUUGGGAAGAAGCCGAUCGCACUUGCCUUGUAGAAAAUGUUUUCUUCUCCUUUUAGCUCAGUCCCAACAGGGCCUGCCAGGCACAAAAACUGCCUCCUGGAUGCCCAUAAGCAUUGCAGUCCUGAUUUUAGGGAGGGUAGCAGAGGUCCCAGCAGCAUUUUUACCUGCCUUCUCUCACAUUUCAAUAGUGUUGGCAUUUCCGCUCUUCUCUCCAUUCCCCAGCAAAAGGUGAGAAAAGUCUCCGUAGCAGACCACCUCUUCCAGAGUUGUUUUCUUCCCAUGCACUCACCGAUGUUUGCUUGUUAUUCACACUGCCCUCAAGCCCUUUCUUCAAGUCGCCCUAUGUUUUCACUCCCAUUAUCAAUAGGAAUUCAAGCUUGCAAAUAAUCAGCAGAAAAGUUAGCAUUUCCAAAGCCCAUUUUUACAUUCACUUUCAUAAGAUUUCUGAUAAGGAAUCCUCCCAAAUUAAGUGCUGAUUGUUGUUGGUAUCCCCUCCACCAUUUUACUAUAUCUAUCUAAAAAAUGGAUGAAAGGAUGGACAGACGAAUGGAUGGAUGGAUAGAUUAAAAAUAGAUACAUAUGAGUAAAUAUACUCAUACUACCUGUACAUAUAGAUAUAUGUAUUUAGUAAAUAUAUACUAUAUAUGAACACACUAUACAUGUAAGGUGAAUAUAUGUAUAUAUAUUUAAUAACUCUAGUUUUAUCUCUUUAUCAAUUUGUCCAUCUAUGUAGUAAAUCCUAGGGACGCCAAGAAUUGGCAUUUCUCCCUCUGUGCUGACCAUUGAACUGGGUAACGAUGGUCAAAAUCCUGCCUCCAAAACCUCAUAAUUUAUCAAACAUUACAAAGUUCAGCACACAAAAAUCUCAUGAGCACUUUCAAAAUGAUAUGUAGCUAAAUUCAGACACUGUGUAAAGUGCAUAUGUGCUGAAAGGAAUAAAAUAAUAACACCAUAAUGCUAAGGUGAUGUUCGAUUUAUAAUAGAAGAUAUCCCCAUGAAAAUGUGUUGUGAGUCCAAUGGGAAAGGAAUGGUGUAUUAGUCUGUUCUCAUGCUUCUAAUUAAGACAUACACAAGACUGGGUAAUUUAUAAAAGAAAGAGGUUUAAUUGACUUACAGUUCCAUGGCUGAGGAGGCCUCACAAUCAUGGCAGAAGACAAAGGAGAAGCAAAGGCAUGUCUUACAUGGCGGCAGGCAAGAGGGCUUUUGCAAGGGAAUUCCCAUUUAUAAAACCAUCAGAUCUUAUGAAACUUAUUCGUUACCAUGAGAACAGUAUGGGGAACCGCCCCCGUGAUUCAGCUGUCUCCCACCAGGUCCCUCCCACAACACAUGGGAAUUCUGGGAGCUACAAUUCAAGUGAGAUUUGGAUGGGGACAUGGCAAAACCAUAUCAAAUGGGUCAAUCAGUUUGUCAUAGAAGAAGAACAUCCAUAUACAGAGAGAAAAAGGAUGCAGCAGGGAUGCAGAAGUUGUGAAAGAAAGCUUAAGGAAUGUGAGAAGUCUCACAGUGGCUUGAGUCUCUCAACCUGGCUUGAGUCUCCUAGACUUUCUCAUCUUCGAGAGGAUAUGGGCUCUGUCUAGUGGAUUCCACACUUGUGAAGAGCUACUAACUCAGGCAAUGCUAAUCGAAAAAGCAUUGUCAAAUUCAUUCUUUCACUUAUUCUUUCAUUAAAUCACUUUCUCCCUUGUUCAUUAAACUGCAAGCACAUAUCAGCCUCUUUUUUUCCAUUGGGGUUUGCAAAUGCUCUUCCUUCUGUUUAAAAUGUUUCUUUCCCCAUAUUUUAUCACAUGAGCCUUAUUCUCCUUUCUCAGAUCUUGUUAAUAAUUGUUUUAAAUCCUCAAAAUGGCUUUUCCUGACCAAAUUUUAUCACAAUAUCUUGAUCAUUUUUCACAGAAUCUCAAAAUUUUCAGUUAUUUAUGCAUUUUAUACAAAUUCGUUGUCUGUCUUCCCCAGGGGAAUGAAAAUGUAUGAAAGAAGGAAUAUUUGUUUUCUUUGCUACUGUGUGCUCAGGGCCCAGGAUGGUGCCUGGAACAUAGUAGGCAUUCGAUAAAUAUUGGUGUUAAGUGUGUGUGUGAGUGAAACCAUGUGAGUAAGUAUGAAGAUUCAAACUAAAAAAAGUCUUUUUGCAGAAUCAAAAAUAAAAAUUGAAUCUCCCCAUGUCCAGAAGAACAGUAAUUCCAAGUGCUUAUACAUAAAUUAUGUUAGGCAUUAAAAUUAUAUAUGGUCGGUAGAUAAAUAUUUAAAAUACAAACUGAUGCAUAUACUUACAGGGACAUCACUCCCUAUUUCUCAAAGGUACAAGUAAAUAUAUAUGUAUAUGUUAAAGAAUUAUAAGCCUCCUGGGAUAUUGGAAUCAAUAUUAGAAGAUAUUAGAAUGUCCCUGUCUUAUAAGAUUAACAUACUCAUCUUUAAAAUACUCAUUCUAGUCUACAAGAUCUGUCAUCAUUAACAGCAAUAUCAGCAUCAUGAAUAUUUAUUAAUUACUUACAAGGAGUUGUACACUGGUUUAGAAGUAAUCCCUGCCUAAAUGGAAAUUUGCAGGCUAUAACAAAUGACAUUUGUAUGGGUGACAAGGUGAAUUUCUAUGAACCAGCAAAUGUCCAACAACAAUUAACAUAUCAUUAGAUUAUGCCUGUGUUCACACUUCCAGUCUCAAUAAAUGGUUCACCUCAUUAUCUAAUGGUUGUUAUUGAAUAUUAGUGCUAUCUCAUACAUCAGAGCAGUUGUCUACUGAAACAAGUAAACUUGCGAAUUGAAUAUGUGCUUCCUGAUUUAUUCCCAAGAAUAAUUUCUAUUUUCUACCAUGUUAUCCUAAAGAGAAUCUAAGCUCCAUCAGGGCAGAGGAUUCACUUAUCAUUUUCACAGCUAUAUCUCCAUCUCCUCCCACAACUGUGGCUUAUAACAAGUUAGGGGCAAUACAUAUGUGUUCAACAAAUGAUUAAGUUCAGAAAUUUUAGUCAAAUAUUGAGUGCUAUUGCAUGUCAGACAGUAGGCUAGAUACUUUAUAUUUAUUAUCUUAUCUAAUCUUCACUACAAGUCUACAACUUUGUGAUGUUAUUAUUCCCAUCUUACAAAUAAGGAAACUGAGUUUUAGAAAGAUCCUCUUGCCAAGAGUACACAUGCAGUCAAUAAUGGAGAGAGUUUUUAGCCUCAGGCUCUGUGGCUCCAGAGGUUAUAUACCUUCCACCAUGCUAUUUACACUAUCAGGUCAAGAAGCAGUUGAAAGUUGAUGUGGUUGGGAUUCAUGCACAAUGAAGGCUUGGGUUGGAUGGUCUCACUAUGUUAAUAUUGUGUAGUAAGUAGGCGAGGUAAGAUAUUGUUCAGUAAAGUACCACAGAAGUGUCCAUAAAGGCGAAAUUAACUAUUUUAAAAGUCAGCAUAAUAAAAUCCUAGAUGUUAUGGAUACUAGAUAAGCUGCACUAUAUGAUUUUAAAUAAAACACUGUUGGAGAGGAAGAAGAGCAUGGUACUUUAUAGAUUAUUAGCUGCUCGAUAAAAGACUAAAUGGAUUCUCAGUUCUGCCUCUUAUAAGCAGUGUAGCUAAGGUGUAUUUAGUUUCUGUGUGCCUCAGUAUACUUAUCUGUAUAAUCAGAUAGCUGUCACUAAUAACAAAGUAAAUAUAAAGUGUUACAGUGACUGGCACACACUAAAUAAUAAAUGUUGACUAUUAUAAUAAUUCAUUGAUUCUAUUCCAGAAAUAAGAUAUGACAAAUGUCUUCCAAGUUCUAUGGAUAAAAAUCUAACUCAAACAAUAAAUGGUGUGUUUCCUAUUUAAAGAUAACAUGAGCUGGGCGCAGUGGGUCACGUCUGUAAUCCCAACACUUUGGGAGGCCGAGGUGGGCAGAUCACAAGGUCAAGAGAUCGAGACCAUCCUGGCCAACAUGGUGAAACCUUGUCUGUACUAAAAAUACAAAAAUUAGCUGGGCGUGGUGGCGUGCGCGUGUAGCCCCAGCUACUCAGGAGGGUGAGACAGGACAAUCACUUGAACCUGGGAGGUGGAGGUUGCAGUGAGAUGGCACCACUGCACUCCAGCCUGGCGACAGAGCGAGACUCCGUCUCAAAAAAAAAAAAAAAAAAAAAUACUAUGUAUUGUGUUCAUCUCUCAGUCCCUGUUCAUAACUAUGUGUGGAUAGCUUAGCGUUGUAACAAACUUUCAAUGAUAAAUUUGGUUUGAUCAAUACAAUUGCCUUUCCUUUCUUUGACUGAUGAAAUUACUUGAUUGUGUGCUUUUUGCAGAGAAUUUUUUAUGUAUUUCAUUCCUUACAAAGUAAAAUGUAGUCAGAAGAUAUGGAGCUAUGAUUGGUCCAGUAGAGAAUAAUGUAUUGUUUCGUAAACAAUAUCCCACAUCAAACAUCUCACCUACCAUACUACCAAUUUUGGAUGGAAAGAGCCUAGAAUUCCACCCUCUUUUGUCAUCAGGGAUACCAACACACUGGGAACAAUGCAUUUAGCAAGAUUUUAUUUAUAGUAAAAUCUCCUCCAAGGAAAACUCCAUCUAUACCAACAGUCCCCAACCUUUUUAGCACCAGGGACCAGUUUUGUAGAAGACAAUUUUUCCAUGGAUGGGAGGGGGAAUGGUUUCGGGAUAAAACUGUUCCACAUCAGAUUGUUAAGCAUUACAUAGAUUUUCAUAAGGAGCAUGCAGCCUAGAUCCCUCUCAUAUGCAGUUCACAGUAGGGUUUGCACUCCUAUGAGAAUCUAAUGCCAUGGCUGAUCUUAGAGGAGGUGGAGUUCAGGCAGUAAUGCUUGCUCACCUGCUGCUCCACUCACCUCCUGCUGUGCAUCUUGGUUCCUAACAGGCAAUGGUCCCGUAUUGGAUCUGUGUCCCAGGGGUUGCUAUAAAACUGUUGCAACAACGUAGACUUUAAAAUGGAGAAAACCAGAAUUAUAUCUUCUAAAAAAAUAGAGUUCUCGUUUUCUGUAUCUUUUCCAGGACUGAUCAUCGUUAUUUUUCCACUCCAUAUUUAUUAUUACCAUUAAACCAUAAGCACUUCUUCAUAUAAUGGCUUAUUCUCCUUGAAUGCUCUUUCAAUUAUGUAUGUGCUUAUAAUUUGCUAAAUCAAUCCCCCAUGUUAACAGUGUACAUGUUAGAUAUGUACAUUUCUUCCUGUUCUUCAUUUUAUAAAUAACAUUACAUAAAUUUUUGUAAAUAUACUUCUAUUUAUGUAUAUAUGUAUUUUAAUAUACUUCCUGUAGAACGAAUUUCUGGGUAUGGCCAAAGGGUUUGAAGACUAUUAUGCUACCUGAAUUAUAGAGAAAAAUAUUUUCCCAAGGGAUGGCACCAGAUUGUCAGUAGCAGUUCACAAGUAUGCCAGAUUUAACAUUGCCUUUCAAUUAUUGAAUUAUUUCUUCUUCAUUCUUUCAUUAGUAUAAGCUUAUACGUCAGUUUAAUAUAGACUUCUGUUUGAGGUAUCUGGUUUACCAUUUUCAGUAACUUAAUUGUAAUUCUUCUUAUAUAAUUUAUUCUUUCUUAUUAACCUUUUUUCCUUUAGCUAUUGAUAUCUUGAUUUUAUUUUCUUAUUUAAAUUGGUGAGACCUUUAUAUAAUAUAGAUCUUAAUCAUUUAAUUGUGUCUGUUAUAUUUUUUCCAUGUUAUACUUUAAUUUUUCUUAGGAGUUUAAUUUUAUGUAGAAAAAUAACCUGACUUCUUUCUUUCUUUGGACAUUUUAGCAACUGUAAAGUUCUUCCAAAGAUGUGAUAAAAAUUGCAUAUUCUGAUCCCUCUUUACCUAAAAAAGAAUUUAUUCGGACAAAUGGUAUGAAGUAGGUAUCUUCUUUUUUAAGCAAAAUACUAAACAAUUUCCUCAGCAUCAUUUAUCUAAUUACAUUUUCUGUACUUACUGUUUUAUGAUGCUUUCUUUGUCAUAUAUUAUAUUCUUACAUAUAAUUGGAUCUCAUUAUAUGCCUUUUAAAAACAGGAUUUGACCUAUAUAACAUAACGAUGACUGGACAUUGCUCCAGGAUGUUGAUUGAAUGCUUCUACAUAGCAUCUUCUCUAUGGCAGGUUGUUAACAUUUUAAUGUUUUAUAGAAGUGAAUUCUUAAAAAAAAAAUGUUGGUGAGUGCAUUGGAAACCUUUUAAAAUGGCUGUAAUUAGCUACUCUGGGAGAAUGUUAUAGGUUUUGAUGGGCCCCUCAGUGGCAGUUCUAGUGGCCUAUCCUAUUGACUGACAAAAGAUUGUGGGAGAAUACUUAAUGUUGUUUUAAUUAACAACUCCUAAAAGAAAAUGUCAAUUAUCUUCCAUUUGGCUGAGGCCUAUCCUUCCAAAUUUUUUUCUUACCCCUUCUCAAAUGCUACAUAGAAAAAUAUUUGUUGUAUUCCCCAAUGGACAUCCAUCAUCUUUUGGAAGUGAGAACAGUGUUUAGUUUUUAUAUCCUGAAUUAAUGAUAAUUUUAAGUCUUUAAAAAGAAAUUAUACUGCCUUUAAUAUCUACCUAGCAAUGGUAAGUACUUAAUUUUGUUUCUCAGAAGGUAAAAUGGGAAGAUAGAUCAAUCACAGAACAUAAUAAAACAUGCGUUAAUUUAUUUCAUGUGGAAAGAAAUUAUUAAUAAAGUUGUCCACAAGAAAAACAGAAAGACAAUAAAUGAGUAGAGAGGUGAUAACAACACCCCUCUUUCGUGUGUAUGGCAGUGAUAACAGCAGUACUUACCUCAUAAAAUUGUUCUAAGAAUUAAACACAACGCUGUCAUGUCAGUGUGAGAGCUUUGGCGGUCACGUGGCUAUAAUUAUCACUGGUUACGUUCUACAUGCAUUUGAAGGUCUAGGUGCAGAAAAAGAGGAGGCUAUUUCAAGUAGAGACAUUGCUAUCUCUGGGCUUCGGCUCAGGCUAAUGUCUCUACUUAUAUUGGAAGAACUAGUUUAGCAUUGCAGAAAGUUAAAAAGAAAAGAGUUCUUAAAUUAAGCUUUAAAAUUCGAUGCAGUAUUUAUGAACAUACUUUUAUCUUUUCAUAUGGUCAUGUAUCAGGUAGUAUGUUUACUGGUUGAGAGAAAAAUGCCACCCUAAGGUUUGCUGAUACAAUGAAGUCAUCCAAAUUCUAUGAUUACCUGCCUUGGCCCAUGUCUCCAUCACUGACAGAUGUCAUCCUCCUACUUUUCUUAAACUAUGAAAUUCUAAGUACUUAUGGGCUGCUAGAGAUUCCUCAGUGUACACAACAGUUUGCUUAUUACUUAAAAGUCAGAAAGAGGUAGGUGCUUGGGCCCAAAAACAGACACUUCUUUAAAAGGACCUUCUAGCGAUAGGAAGACAGGAAUCCCACCCCCUACCUUGGGAAAAUGAGCAGUUAGAGAAUGUAAAAGAAAUUAUCUGUUCCAUUUAUAAAAAUUCAAAUAAAUUGUGUGCAUCUAAUAAUAGCUUAUACAAUACAGAUAUGUAUUUAAGCAUUUUCUAUAUCUCAGGUGCUGAGGGGAGAAUUCUGUAUAUUAACUGACUUAUGUAUUAGAACAAACUUAUGAAGUAGGUACUAUUCUUACUGAUGAGAUACUGAGGCAUAGAGUGAUUAAGUAUAACUUGCCCAAGAUGGAACUUGAAUUGGACUCAGCAUUCGAUCUCACAGUAUCUGUUCUUAACCCAUACACUUCCUGUUUCUCUGCAUUAAAGUAGACUCAGCUCUUGAGGAAUUAAAUAAGAUCUUUGGGUAUAAAGGGCCAGGCUUGUGACAUUUAGGCUGCCAUCCUACUCAGAUUUCUCUCAACCUUUCUCAGGAAUGACUCAGACAAUUCUGAAGGGGGGAAAAAUGUGCCCUUUUCCAUAGUUAAAAAGUAGAUACCAGCCAGGCGCUGUGGGUCACGCCUGUAAUCCCAGCACUUUGGGAGGCUGAGGUGGGCGGAUUACUUAAGGUCAGGAGUUCAAGACCAGCCUGGCCAACAUAGUGAAACCCUGUCUCUACUAAAAAUACAAAAAUUAGUCGGGUGUGGUGGUGCAUGCCUGUAAUCCCAGCUGCUCGGGAGGCUGAGGCACGACAAUUGCUUGAACCUGGUAGGCGGAGGUUACAGUGAGCUGAGAUCGCGCCACUGCACUCCAGCCUGGGCAAUAGAGCGGGACUCAGUCUCAAGACUAAAAAUAAAAUAAGAUAAAAUAAUAAAAACAAAAAAGUAGAUACCAUUGUUCAUUCUGAAAUUUAAAGUUUCUCAUUGCACCAUCUCAUUGCAUCCCUAGCCUUCCUGAACAUUUCCCAUCGUGUGCUCAAAUAAUUUGCAAGAAAUGGCCUCUGUGGUUACUACAAUUUUGCACUGCACACUCGUUUAUCCCUAGAUCUGUAGGUAGGUAGGGUUUGCCAUCUAUAUCACUAUAACCAAGGUUCAUCAAUAUAAUCUAAACUGCUCUUCUCUCUCUCUCUUUCUCUCACUCUCUCUCUUUCUCUCUCUCUUUUUUUUUUGUGCCACAGCCAGUUUAUUGUGACCAGCAUUUUGUAAGAGCCUAUGGCACAUCUGCUGUUGAAUUUAUUUUUAUGAGGCUGUCAGCAUGGGCUGUGCUAUGGUUUGAAUAUGUCUCCCCAAAAGUGUUUAUUGGUAACUUAAUCUCCAAUGCAACAGUGUUGGGGGUGGGACCUAAUGAGAGGUUUUUAGAUUAUGAGUACUCCACCCCCAUGAAUGGAUUAAUGCCUAUUAUAAAAGGGCUUGAGGCUGUGAGUUCUACUGCUUGCUCUUUCUCACCCUCUUUUUGCUUUUCCACUAUGGGAUGAUGCAGCAAGAAGGCCAUCACUAGAAGUGGCCCCUUGAUCCUGGACUUCUCAGCUUCUAGAAAUGUGAACCAAAUAGAUGUCAUUCAUUAUAAACUACCCAGUCUGUGGUAUUCUGUUAUAGCAGCAUAAAAUGUCGUAAACCAGGCUGUGAAAGAGAAAAGAGAGGCCUGAGAAGCAAACCAAGAGUAGGAAAGGGAAAGGGACCCAGAAAACAGUCUAGGAGUGGAGAAAGGGAGGACGGAGCUUGCGGACGGGGACUGUGUUUCAAAUCUGUUCCUACCACACACAAGUUCCAGAGUUUCCACACUGGAACAUACAGUUUGGUUAAUUCUUAAAGGAAGAAGAUUAAGGAAAUGAAAGUAGACAGGAAAAGCGGAGUGUGAGAAGCAUCAAGCUUGUUGAACUAAUACUUUUUUUAUGUUUUCUUUAUAUUUGUGUUUUAAUUUACCUGAUUUCACACAAGGAACUUAAGUUUAAACUCAUCUCUUUUUAAACUACUUUAUUGAGUUACGAUUGACACAUGAUAAUCUGAACAUAUUUCAUGUAUACAACUUAAUGAAUGUGGUGAUAGGUACACACUAUGAAACCAUCACCACAAUCCAUGCUAUAAAUAUAUCCAUUCUCUCCAAAAGUUUUCUCCCACCUCACUUUAUUGAUUAUUAAUGUAAUCAAUAAGAUUAUAAGAGCACUUAUCAUAAGACCCACCCUUUCAGCAAAUUUUUUAGUUUACAAUGCAGUAUUGUUACCUAUAGACACUAUAGAUCUCUAAGACUUACUUAUCUUGCUUAGCUUAAGCUGUUUUUUCCUUCCCUACAUGAGGCCUAUUUUCAGAUAAAAAGGCUAGUAUUCUAAAAGUGUCUUUGAACCUUUUUUUCCUCUGAUACAGACUUAAUGAGGUGCUGGGGAAAAGUGACUGACCCCAAAGGAUUUCCUCCAUUAUGUCUUGCCUCAUUCCAAGUCCUGACACACACCUCUCUCCUCCAGCCUUGGUGAGGUGAGAGCCACUGAGCUUUUCAUAACAGCUCCAUGUUCAGGAUCUUGUUAGCUUAAGGAAUUACUUCUAAAGCUUUUCGGUAAAUGCCUGAAAAAAAAACCAGCUGCUGUAUACAAUACCAUAGUACAGAUUGCUCUUCAACUAUGUCCAUUCUAACAGGCAAAGAAUUAUUGAGUGAUAGAGAAAUUGCCCUUUCACAAUUGCUAAGCAUUUGCUGGUACGUGCAGGGACAAGUGACAAUGUGAUUAUGCAUGUGUGGGAAGAUAGUUUCUGCCUGGGUUAUAAAUCAUAUGGGAAAAAUAUUAUGAAGAAAGGUAAGGUUGCAUAUAGUGAUAAUAAUAAUUCAUAUUGAAAUAAAAUUGUGGUAGGAGUACAGUAGUUGUCAUGGUGGUAGCUACUACUAUAUUUUUUUGAGGGUUUACUGGAUCCAAGGACUCAGGGUAGGUAUUAUUCUAAUAUUACUUUUUGAAAUUAUAACAACAAGGAAAUUGAGAAUCAAAAAAUUCAAAUAACUUGCCUUAGUUCAUUCAGUCUUUUAAUUAGCAAGCCAAAGAUUUACAUCAGAUAUGUCUGAUACCAAAAUCCAUUUCCUCUCUCUUCCCUCCCCAACCCCUAGACUCUACAGGGCUUACCUCAAAGUCUUAAUAGCACACAAACAGGAAAGGGGUGACUCAACUGAUAUUUAGAGAAUGUGUGUCAUCAAAUGUCUUACCUACUAGCUGGGUGAAACAUAAUCAUUCCUUGUCCAGAGUUUUACAAAUUUGGGAGAGUCUGUCUAACUCUCCCGAUUUCGGGCUGCUGUUGUUUGGAAAGAGGUACGUCCUGCAAUGGUGCAUAGAUACAACUUGAAAAUAACAUGGCUGGUAAACUUGUUCACAGUGAAAACAGGCACAAUGAUUUCCUACUUAAAACAAACAAAACUUUGCCUCAAUUCUUUUAACAUUGUUUGUAGUCCUCAGCGGGAAGUAAAGUUUAAUUCCCAUUAAAAUAAGGAAAUGUUCAACCUUCCACUGGUUUAUAUUUCUCAUCAUCAUAAAGUAGGGAAUAAGGGUAGGAGGAACACCUGCAAACAAUAACAGCUUAGUCCUUUACUGGUCUUUCCCAAACUGUAACAUUGCACCAAUCUGUGAUACCUCACAGCUGAUAUUUCAACUUAGAUAUUUUUAACACUUUAAAUUUAAUAUGAAACUUGGAAAUUAUUGUUUUAUUUUUAAUAGUUUUUCAAAUAGUAUUCAGAUAGCACAACAGAAAAUAACAUGCUCUGUAAAAUUUUCAUUAAUUUAUAUAUAUAAGCUUUCAUACCAAAUUCUCAUCUGUAACUAUAUUAAAAUUAAGUUCAAGUUGAUUUUUUAUAACUUUAUAUUUUCAUCUGUAGUCUACCAAUCACAAACAACCUUUUGGUUUGCAAUGGCCCACACAGCGGAUUUCUGAAAGAAAACGAUGGGCGAAAAGCCUAGUUAUAUUCAUGGCUUGUUAGAUCAUCUUUAAAAGUACUUGUACAUUACAAAAGUGGCAACUAUUCAUUUGAGGGAGGGUUCUGAACACCUAGCAGAGUAAACACACUUUCCAUAUUUAUUUCUUAAAGGAUAAUGAGUGUGACAGCAGCAACUGCUCUUCCCAAAGUCUUCCUAGUAAGAAGGCAUGAACAUUUAGGUUACUGAAUUUCUUUUACUGUCUCAAGAAGGGACAGUAAACUCAGUAAUUUGGGGAAGUGUUUGUGUGAAUAAUUCCCAUUAGGAAAUUAACUUAAAUCAGAAAGUCACUUAAAAGGAUUACAAGUUAAAAUAAAAAUGGUUGGAGUAUUGUCAAUGCAUCUAGUUCACCAUCCACCCAAUUAACUGGAUUUGUAUCAAUUACUCCUUUAGAUUGAAAAAAAAAAUUUGGAGCAACAAGUAAUAAAGGAUAAAAUAUUUAAAUCAUCUUUACACAUGAAUCUUGGGGUACUGUAUCAUGAUAGUGGUUGGGCACAAAAUGAUACCUGCAUGAAUUCAGUGACAAAAAAUUAUUAAUAUCUUGACUAGUAGAAGAGAGUACUCACUGGGACAAACAUAAAAAGUAGCAGAUGUGAGGAAAGGAUGUUAAAUACAUCCCUCCGAAGGCAGUUAUCCAGCUCCCUAAAGUUUUCUUGGAACUCAACUUCCUUUCAGAGCUGCAGCUUCUCUUUUGGUCUUGAAUUUCCACGUUUUGUUUGGGCUUCCUAAGAAGUAAGUUUAUUGGCUUCACAAGUGGAUCUGGCUUUACCCUCUAUGAGGUCUGCAGGGGUCAGACUUCUCCAUAAGAACUUGAAAAACAUAAGUUUCAUAGCUUGGGUCAGGGUGGGGACCCAGAAGGAAAAAAAACAAAAAAGCUAUAUCCACCACAUACAUCUGACCUUACAUCACGUUUAAGAACCACCUCAUUUCUAUUUAAUGAAAGUGACAGACAUCAAAUAAUCAGCACUUUCUCUGAAUUCAAGUCAAGGCCAGAAUCCCACAUGAGAAUUUUGACAUGAGCACAAAAUUCAUGUGGAGUUCUUGUUGACAUACCAAUCCCCAGGGUCCUACUGAGUAAUAUGCUUCCAGUGGAAAGUCUUCAGGAUUUAUAUUUUAAGUAAAUGCUUCUAUUACUGUGUAUAAUCUAGCACCUUUAGGAAACACUAGGCUAGUGAGACUCUUAACUCCCCUUAACUUCCCCCACCCUCUGCCAGUUUUAAUGCAAAACCAACGUCAGAAAUGUUCAGACUCCUCCAUGUUUUUGACCGAACUGGGAAAAACCCUGAAACCUUGUGAACAGUCUAACAUAUCUCAAGAAGUUGCAGAAACCUUUAGUAUAAAUGGCAUAAAAGAUGUGUAGUCAAAAAAUGUUAAAGUUAUGAAGGACCUUUGAGAAUAAUUCUGAUGCUUCACGUUGCAGAUGGGACUGUUCAGAGGCGUGAAAUGUGCUAUCUUGGGUCAUGAAUUUGUCAGGGGCAGAACUAGAAGUGAGCUCUCUGGACUGCAACCCAUCACUUUUCCAUGUGGUUAUUUUACCCAACCCAGUAUUUUUGGUCAGUGUCAAUUCACUUUCCCCUUUGCUCUGAAAGGCUAUUAUGAGUAACCUCAUAACAACCAACAGCUGCUUUCUCUAAGCAGCAUUUGAAUGCAACACUGAAUCCCGAGGAGAAAAUAGUUGCACAGUGCUUUCAAGUCUUUUCUACACUCUCUCCACCCACAUAUGUUUACAUCUCUCACAUUCUUAAGUGAAUUACAGUCAAAUGCUUCAUUACAGAGACUCAGCCAGGAGGACAUGCCCUGGGGAGUUUAUUCACAGACAAAUGUAUUAUUCACAAGCCUGAUCUGAUCAUACAAAAUUUGCACUAUAACCACACACCCUGAGGAAAUGCCUAAAAACCUAAAUGAUUAUACUUAAAAGAAUGGUGUGGAUGAAAAGAAAGAAAAGCAUAUGAGCUAGAAGCGAUGGAGCUAUUGCCCGUUGGUGUGCAGGAACCUCUCAAAAGAACCUAUUCUGAGCCCCUCCCUAAUUCCUUACCUCCUCUAAGAUACCAUUUCCCUCUUUUUAUAGAGUCCUCUUUUGACAGUUUUGAAGGGACGAUGGAAUGAUGAAUUAAGUAGCAUUGGUGAAUUAUUUUAAUGAUGGUUUCUAUGACAACAGAACAAAUACUUUGUGCAUACUUUGUGUUUUAAGCAAAGAAGCAUUAGGCAAAUAAUUUUUCUGAAUAGUGAAUAUGGUAAAAAAAAAACAAAAACAAAGACAGCUUAUAGUUAUUUGGUUACCAUCUAAUAUGAAAGAAGAUGUGUACAUUAGCACUCCACCUGCAGAUAGAAGUUGCUCUACUUAGAAAGUCAAAAACUUCAUAGCAUCAAAGUUUCCAGCAUUCCUUGACUUGAAGAAUUUAACCUAAAGUUGUACCUUUAAAUUCUUUAGAUCCGGACCUCCUUGAGUUCCUCCUGAAGUAGAUUGUAACCUAACCUAUAACAUCUAAACAGAACACUUGAUUUCCUGUUUCUUGCAUUUCUUACCUCUGCAGGGUUCCAAUGGUCCCUGCCUCUAACUGACCAGUUUAAACUGACAAAGCCACUGCAUUAAUUUUUGCAUUGAGUAUUGGUCAGCAGAAUGCUGUGCAAUUGAUACUUCUGCUACUUCCAACUCCAGCUCUGCUGAGAGAAACCUAUCUAUUAUUAAAAACCCUAUUAGUAGUGGUAAGAUUGCACUGCUUUCUCUCGCUAUAGCUGCUGAGUGUUAUCUAAUUGGUUUUUAUUACUUCGAAAACCCUGGGAGUGUGAAGCUCAAAUGCACAUUUGCUAACAGUUCUGUUCUUUCCUCUUGUACUCAUUGGAGAUGCUUUUAGAUCGUUUAGAUUUUGUCAGCAGGAAAGAGGGAAAAUAUUUGAGAUCAUUUUGGAGAGUACCUGGAAAGGGACUACAGACCUUAAGAUUAGUUUAGCUGUGACUCCUCUGGGACUCAAUUGCAUGAAUGCACAUCACAUGUGUGGCUUUUCCCAUUAUUAUCUGAAGCGCAGGGACUUAGGCUUGCUUCCAGAAUUGUGACAUUAUCAAUUUCUCAUGUGAAUGCUAUUGUUCGUUUUGUAUAGUCUUGAUCUUAUUGGCAUUUUGAUAACUGUAAACUGAGUUCUCUAUUACUAUUUCUUUUAUUUAAAUGGAGCAACUUAAUGAUGAGCUCUUAUUCUUAUACAUGCCAUGUACAGAAUGUAUUUUCCUUGUUUUUGUGAAGUUUGCCCCAUACUCCAAGGCUUGACUUAUGUAUAUUCCAUUUGAUGUCUCAUUUAGUUCACCAUCUCUUCCUUCUUGACUUCAAAACCAGGCUUCCAUGGUUACCUCCUAACUAAACUGGCUUUCUCUGAAAUCAUAUCCAGUGCCUGCGUUCAGCUCUCAUUUUUAAAAAACUCUUUACUUUGCCUUUAAAAAUAUGUUCUUUAGUAACUAAUAAAAACAAAACUUUUUGAACACUUACUAUGCAUCAGAUGCUGUUCUAACACUUAAAAUGUAUAGUUAAGUCACUGAAGUAUUUAACUACCUUACUGAUUUUUCCUAGUAUCCCGUCAGGUGAAGAGUACUAUGCUCUCCAAUGUAUAGAUAAGGACAUUGAGACAAAAAGACAUGAACUCACUUGUCCUAAACUUCCCACUUACUGGAGGUGCUGAGGCUCCAUUCUGGAGGGUUUCAGAGGUCCACGAGUCUCCGCUUCCAGCGAAACUCUGUGCUGCUGCUCAGAAUUCCCUCUGAGUUGUCAUCAGUGAUGUCCUUGCCUCCCACCUCUCAGACUAGAUUCAACUGAACAAACAUCAAUUGAGUGCCUGAUAGGGGCCAGGACACGGUCUCCUUCUCGGUCUCUUCUUGUCCCCAUGCUCAUUAAUUGUAUUCAGAAGAGACAGAUGAAAGUAAAAAUUAUGCAGUGGCUUUUAAGGUCUAGGAGCUUUUUUCUGGACGGGGAGAAGAGCUGUGAUGGAAGCACUGAGGAGCAGCACUGUCAGUCCUGCCCUAUCUCUUAAUCAUUAAUAAUUUCAUACGAUCCUCUCAAUGCACCAGUCUCAUCACCAUCAAUUUUUCAAUUAUUCCCUUUUCUUUGACCUCCAAAUCUAAUCAGUUACUAAAUGUUACUAAUCUCCCCCUUUAAAAUUCAUCUCCCCAGCCAUAACUCUACCCUAGGUCCUAAUCACUUCACUUCUGGAUUGUAGUGUUGGCAUCUAGCACACGUUCUGUCCAUUCCAAACCAGUUAUCCAUGAUCAUAAGCUCUGGCCCCCAGAGCACUUUGAAUCAUCUUCUGUAAUCCAGGUCAGAUACUAACUCCUCUCUGAAGUCCUCCCAAUCACUUCACAGACUAUAACCCCUCAUUCUGCCCCUUUUGGGACCAGUGAAAUAGUAUUCACACGUUUGUCACCUCACUGCAGUUUAAAUUUCUUGUGGCCUGGCCUGUCUGUUAUUCUUCUUUUAUACAUAACAUUCAGCAGUAUGUCUGGGACACAGUAACCAUUUCUAUUCAUUCUUAGAUAUGCAAGUGAAUGUAGAAACAAAUGAAUAGAUGAAUAAAUAAAUGAAAGAAAAAAAUUACUGACUUGGCAGGGACUUUCACUUGCCUACUUUACCAAGUUCACACUUCUCAGCAAGGUCACAAAAGCCCACUGAUCUAUACUUCCUUCCAUUGAGUUUGUCUCUAAUACCUGUUGGCUUGGCCCUGGUUUGCCUAAUGGAAUUCAGUUCUCUUCACAUAGAAUUUUUUUUUUUUUCCUUUCUAUAUUAACAGUUCAUGGCAUUCUCUUUUCUUGGAACAUCCUUUCAUAUACUUCAUCAUUUUCUUUCGGUACAAAGUCUGCUCCAAUUAUCUCCAAUUCUGCCUCUUACCAUUCCCUUAUUCACAUAUGAUCCCAAUAGACUGAUGAAGAUCUAUUGUUUUCAUGGGAGUUUUUUGAAGCUAGGGUUUCCACCAAAGUGUUGGUAUGAUGUCAUUUAGCAUAUUUGGCAUCAGAUGUCCAAUGACCAGGAUUUCAGUUUCAACUCUAAUAGGUGACCUGUCUAUGAGUCUCAGUAUACUCAUUUGAUAAGUGAAAAUUAAAAUGACUAGCUACUUCAUGCAAUUUUUGUAAUAAUUAAAGGAACCUCUCUAUGUAAAAGAUGCAUUAGCCAAAUAUCUUGAAAAUAAUUUUUUCCACUAUAAAGUAUUACAUAAAUUUUCUUUGAAUUAUUGUAACUACUUUUUUAAGACCCAAGAGCAAAAGGCAAACAAAGAAAUAAAUGUUUGUUAUAUCAUCAUUGUAUUAAUUAACUCUAUAGUUCUCAUGUCUCUGAAGACUUUAUUUUACAUAUCUCAACUAAAUUAACCUUCCCGACAAAUAGCCCUUAGUUUAUUAACAAAAAUACUGUCUAUAGAGACACUUUAUUAUCUCUAAACCUUAUAACAAUCCUGAAUGGUCAAAACCACCAUCCCCCAUUAACAGUUGAAUAAACUGAGGCUCCAACAAGGCAACCAACUUUCACAUGGUGACAGGACUAGUAAAUUUGGAGUUGGGAUAUUAACUCAAGGUUAUCUCCUACAGAAGUCCACAUGCUGUUCACGGUACCAGGAUGCUUCCGUGACUGUAUUACGUUAUUUGUUUGUGUUUCUAUAAAGAAAUACCUGAGGAUGGGUAAUUUAUAAAGAGGUUUAAUUGGCUCAAAAUUCUUCAAGCUGUACAAACAUGGCACCAACAUCUGCUUAGUUUCUGGUGAGAACUUCAAGAAGCUUACAAUCAUGGCAGAGAUGAAGUGGAAGAACAGAUGUCACAUGGUGGCAGCAGGAGCAAGAGAGAGGUCCCAUACUUUUAAACAACCGAAUCUCACGUGAUAACUGAACAAGAAUUCACUUAUUUCCAAGGGAUGGUGCUGGACCUGCUCCCCUAAUCCAAUCACCUCCCACCAGGCCCUACCUCCAAUAUUGGGAAUCACAUUUCAAUAUGAGAUUUGGAGGGGACAGACAUCCAAACUGUAUCAGUGAGAGAGGAUUAUUCCUCAUUUUUGCCGAUAAUCCCAUUUUAGAAUAAAUGUAGCGUCCCUGUAGGUGGCUCACAUGAUCCGAAAGGAGACAAAGGAAUCACAUGCCAAUCUGGGUGUCUCAUGUGGGGCAUUGUCCUGUUGGGGUCAGCAGGUUGGCUUCUUGCCAUUCAGGAAUGAUGCCUUUUAUAAUGAGGAAGUUAGAGAGAUAAUUAUGGAAAUUAAUUCCUGAACUGCUGUGGCCUGUGAACUCUACCAAGCAGAACUUUGAAUAUCAAGGGCAGUGCUGCAAUGCAGAUCAGAAAUGAGAAAACCUUACUUUAGCAGUCAUAGGGAGUAAACUGAACUGUUUUUAUACAAUCCCAUGUCGUCUUAUUUAACGUGUGUGUGUGAUUGCAUUCAUCCUAGCAUUCCUGUCACCUGAUGCAUACAGAUGGCCUAUUAACCAAUUAACUUAUUGGACUAAAUAGGCUAAAUCAAACUAGAUGACAUCAACUUGCUCUACAAGGAUAGGACUAAAUUAAGUGUGUUUUAAAUGCCAGUGAGAAUGAUUGGACGAUAAAAUAAAGAAGAGAUGAAAAGAGAAAACAGAAUUCAAUCCCUAAUCUACUCAUUUCUUCCCAUUCCCAGAAAAUGCCUAAUCUAUUUUAGAUUAGAAAAUACCCCAGCUUGCAAAAGCUUGUCAGCCCCAUAUCACAUGUUACACUAAGUCAAUGUCGAGCUCACGACAUGAAGAAAUUCAAGCUCAGUGCUGAGAAAUGCAUUUUCUAUGUUUUUAAAUAUUUUUUGGCCACGAUCUGAUUUAUUUUCAACCAAUCCAGAUUCUUUCCAGCCCUGUGGUUCAGCUAAUAUGAAGAGCAAUAAGCAUAUUCCAAAUAUGGAUUCUGAGAAGUCACUUCAGAAACAUUCUUCCUGGAAUUCUGUGUGAUUCAGAAGGAAAUGUCCACAAACUAUAUCCAUAUAACACUAAAAAAUGGAAGAAGAAACAACCACGUACUUCUAUUUUCUAAUACUGCCAAGGUGCACAACUCCUAUAAUUUUCAGAGACCCACACUAUAAUUCACUCUCUGUCCUAUGAUCUGCCUCUUUUCUCUCUCUCAUUAGAUUUAAUUCAGUAAUCACACCCUGCAAGCCAUUCAAGCAGAAAUACCCUUGCUGAUUGCAACUUUCACCAGCUAGUCCAUGAAUAUUGCUGUAAUGUGUAUAUAUCUAUGUGUAUGUGUGUGUCUGCCUGCGAGUGAAAGAGAAACUAUUGCCUUCAUCAGCAGCUGCCUCCUCUCUGUGUCUUUAGUUUGCUCUCUCUACCUAUUACUCUUUUCCCGUUUUGUAUACAUGGGAGAUGUAAUUCUAUUUCUCCAGAGUGGCACUACCAGUAGAUGAAUCCUCCUUCCUCACUAGUCAUCACUCAGUAUGAAAUUUUGUUUCCUCUUUUCACUUUUUUCUGUGGUUUUAAUUACUUGUCCCUGAACUAAACAUAAACCAUCUUCCCUUGAAUGUUUUAGUGACCCCGUUGUGCUUUUCAACUGAGAUUUUACCCUAAGCAUUUUCCCCUUUCAUUUUAAUGUCUGUAUAUGCUUGCUUUUUGUCCACAUUGCUUUUUGAAUUUUUCACUUAUUCCUCAAUUUGUUUUCUGUAUGUGAUUAUCGCUUGAUUAUACCCAAGUGAACUUAUGAACAUGGUUUCUUUUUGCUUCCCUUACCUCAUGUGUGGCAUGUAUAUAUCAAUUCCCAUUUCCUCUGGGGGAGGUAUGAGGAGUAGCAGUUGCCGAAUGGUAUGAGCAUUUUAGUUUAGAAGAUGUAUCUGUAUCUCUUCACUGCCUUGUUUUACAUCUUUAUGCAUGAGCAGCAUUACUGAAACCGAGCUAAAGCUUACCAGUCUAAAGCUGCACAGUGCACAUCUCGUUAAAAGAAAUGGUUUGGGUUCCCAAAUGAAUAUGCAGAAUUGAUUUGUAUGGUGGAGAAGUUAAAGGGUCUAAAGGGCUAAGACUUUGUAUUUUUAAUAAUUUUCCUUUAUGCAAGAGCUUAAAGAAUUGUUGAUUUACAUUAUAAAGGAUCAAAUAGAAGCCAUAGCAUUUUGUACCAUCGUAUUGAACAAUGAGACGAAAGAUUCUAAAUUUAUGUUGUGAAGGAAAAGCAAAACAAGCCACAAAUCUCAAAGGUUGUGCCAACGUCAUGUGUGGCAAGGGCAGUGCCACUCAUUUGACACCCUUUUGCUUUGUACUUCGUGAUCCGGCUCUUGUGUGUAGCCUCCAGCUCUGGUCAUAUCAUUCCCUGUUUUCCCUUUCCAAUAUUCAAUUAAUGUGUUCUCUUUCUGUAGUUAGAACUGAUAACAAAACAUGGUGAGAGAGAAGAUAGAGAAAUGGGAGAGGGGAAAAUGUACAGAACACAAUGUUCUGGAAUGUCCUAGUCACACCUAUACUUUUAGUAAGUUUCACUUAUUUGCACAAAUUUGGUUUGGCAUAUACUUUUAUCUUGCAUUGAUUUAUAUAUAUUUAUAUGUAUUACAUAUCAUGUAUGUAUAUUUUAUAUAUAUAUUAGUAAGUGAGGGAUAAGCAAUAGGAGAGAUAAGAAUAAGUACAUGAUAAUAAACAGAGAUCACUUCUUCAUUCAUUUAUUUUAAAUUGACAGAAAUAAUUUGUGUUUUUAUCGUGUACAACAUAAUGUUUUAAAAUGUGUAUUUGAAAUAUCUAUAUACAUUGUGAAAUGGAUAAAUUUAGCUAAUUCACAUGGUUGCUAAUUUACAUAGUCAUCAUUUUUGUGACUUCUGCUUAAUAUCCUCUGUUUUAGUAUUUUUCAAGAAUAUAUCACAAUGCUGUAUAAUAUAUCUCUAGAUGAACCAUUUCUUCUUAAUGAGAUAAAUUAAUUACGUGGACACAAAAUCUGUACUAUCAAAUAUCCCUCAAAAAUAUAGAGAAGAAAAACAUACUUUUGUCACUUCUUUAUCACUUUUUAGGAGAUGGAACCUAAGAAAAUAAGAGUGAGGGAAAGGGAAGCUAAUAUUUUUGAAGCAUCUACUAUGUAUUCAAAUACAGAGUUGGCUGCAUUCAUAUAGAAUAGUUAAUUUAAUCCUCUCAAUAGCUCUAAAAAUAAGUGUUGCUAGCCCUGCUUUUAUAGCUACUGAAAUUGGGACUCAUAUAAAUUAAGUCCUUUAAGCUGUAAAGGUCCAUCACACUAGUAAAUGAGAAGAGCAGAUUUGAUUUCAGAUGAAUUGACUUUUAAAAUAUUUCUCUUUUUUUCUUUCUAAUUGUUUGAAGAAACUUCUUUUUCUAUCUAUGAAUAAGUGCUUUCUCUAUUGAUCAUCUUAGGCUAUCUGUGGGUAAGAAUGAUAUAAUAUAUGAUGUGUGAUCCUUUGUUUUCUCAGCCGAGGAAAUUAAUGUAAAAUUCUGCUUGUCCAAAACACUGUUUACAGAAGUACAGAGAUUUCGUAGCUGAGCAGUUUUCUGAUUGUGGAUCCUACCUGAUUACCUGAGGUUGAUUAACAAUAUUGUGAAUUCCGCCCUCGACACAGGGAAGAGGAGCCCUGUGCUGGGUCUCGUAUUAAUACUACUCUGUCUGAUCCUUCCAUAGACUCAUCACUCCUCAUAGAUGAAUCCAACAUCUUAAAGGGGCUCCCACCUGGCACCUACCAUCCUUCUUCUAGACUAUCACCUGUGCAUCCCAGAAUUCCCUGCCCUAGAAAGUCCCAGACCCAUUUUUCCUAGGUCUGCAUUGGCACAAAGACUGACCAAGGAAGGCUUGCAUGGGCUGUCCCAGACUCCGCACAUGAGAGCAAGGGGCCUCACAAAAGUUUGCAGUAUAGAACUGAGGCUGGGACAGAUUGAGGAGAGAAAUCUGUGGGCGUGGACCAGCGGUCAGAGGCAACUCUUUCAUUUCUACCGUCCUCACACACAGAAUUUCAAGGAGUUGAAGAUUCUAAAUUGAUACUCAGUCUUCUAGGAGGAUGGAAUGAUAUUAAGUGGUACGUAAGGUUCCCCUUGUAAUGUUGCCCUGGGCCUCACAUAUAUAUAAAAAAGGCCUGAAUAGCAUACUACUCUGAUUUAUAUUCUACAAAGGAGAAAAGAUCUUACCCUGGCACUUUCAACUUUUAUUAUAAUUUUAAAUAAUGUAUUAUGAUGCUUGUUUCUUCAGCUCUUGUUUAUUAUAAUUGUUUAUCAUAAUUUUAAACAAUUUAUUAUGAUGCUUGUCUCUUCCAACCUUGGGGAACAGGAAAGCACAAGGAGCUUUCUGGUUCUGACCUCCUGGAAGCAGGAUCCCCUGAACACGGGCAUGCCCACGCAUAUGCCCCCCAUUGACAGGCAUAGCGGGUAGCUCAGCUCCUCCUCCUGGAUUCCAUAACCACAUGAUUGCUUAGGAUUGGGCAUCUUAGCUUCUUCCUUUAUUGAUGACCUUUUAAAAUGGUGAAAAUUAAAUACAAUGAAUGCAUAAUGGUAAAUACAAUGUUUGCCACAAGAACACGUUAUCUCACAAAGUAUAAUAGAUACCCAAUAAAUGAUAACUUUCCCCCGUCCCCUCCCUUCUGCCAAACCAACACUUUACAUUAGCUAGGAAACAUGAGUAUUCCAUACUGGGAUCAGUUGAUGUUUUUCUCCCAAUCUCUCUUCAAGUUCCUUUAGCUCACACAGUUACCACUCUCCACCAUGUAAUCAACAGAAGAUGCUAAUGAGGCGUUAGAUGCCUUUUUAUCAGGUCCCUCACCAAUCACCCUAAAUACCCAGCUCCACUCAAGAGCUCUGUGCCAUCCUGCCUUUUCUUGUCUUCACCCUUUGUUUCACUGUUUAGCUCCCACCCCCAACCCCCAUGCACUCUCUUUUCCCGAAGUGCGGUCACUUCAUCUCUGUCAGGGAGCUUUUAGUCGGAUGAAUGGAAAACAUUUAAUCAAGAGACCUGUCCUGAGUUGGUACAAAAUGUCACAGCCCAUUUGCUUAAAAAAAUAAAAAUAAAGUCAUCUGCUCUGUUUAUCUCUAGCUUUCCACAGACAAUGGCAGUUGCUGAUUUUAGUCUAUUGCAAUGAAGUGUGGCUUAGCCUGACCCCCCCUGCUUUUCUCACACAUGAAUGCAGAACCGAAUCCUGAGAGAGCAGCUUUGCCCAUUGCUUGAACUAAAGGUGCAGGAGCUUAUCUUCCCAUAGAGGAUUUUCCAUUUCUCAUUCUCUGCUUCUCAUGCUCUUAGCAUAUAGACGGAAACUUAGAUUUGGAAUUGUGACUCUUCUUUUUUUCUGCGUUAAAUCAGCCUGCAGUGUCUGAUACAUAUACUUGGGUACAUUUCAGAUUUAAAUAUGCAAUACCUUUGCACAGGGCAAGAUGGAAAGAAAAGUAUGCCCCGUGGUUCUGGCUGUGUUUUGAAACUAAGAUUGAAGGAAGGAGAGUAUAUUCAGAGGCAAGUAUUCUGAAAAUACUAUUAAUAGAGGCAUUUCUUUGUUGAUUUCUUAAGCAGCCUCUGCAUUAACAAGAGUUUUAGUAUUGGGAUAGCUUAAUGAGGUGCUAAUGAGGGAAGAAGAACUGAGCCCUCUGUUUAGUCCCUCAUACUGCAUUGUUUACAAGGGGUCAAAGGUUCUUUGCAUAUUUCUACAUGAGCAAAAUAAUUGCAGUACUUUCUAAUCCCAUUUCAACUAUCACCCUGCCAACCUGUUUUCAGCGUACACACACACACACACACACUCACACACACACACAGGCACACACACACUCAACUUUAUACAAAGUGGACUAGAAGUGGAUUACAUAAAAUAGAAGGAAGCCGAUCCCCUCAUCUCUAUUCAUUUUUCCUAGCAUUAACUGCUGACUUAUUGACAACGUAUUUGUGCUCAGCUUGAGUCAGUCAAAUAUUUCAUUCAGAACCGACAGGUUACAAUCUACCUAUUGGCAUCCUGCUGGUAUCACAUGUGACACACUUGUGAUAGCUGCUGCAAGCUGGACAUGUUCAAGAUGUGCAUCUUUGGAAAGGCAUUUACCAAAGACUGUUAAACAACUUUACACUUAUGAAACAGGGCUUGCUUUAAGCCCAGAACAAAAAAGUUUGAGCAAUGUCAGCAGCACUGACAGCACCUUUGGACAUGAAGAACAAGGCAGUAACAAAGAAUAAGCACACAACCCACCAAAUAAAACUCAUUUAUUUAAUCAAAAAUAUACUAUUAGUACUUUACACAAUAAAAAAAUUUUAAUAUUAAUAUGACUUAAAGAUACGUUAAUUCAAUCCAAUCAUUCAAAUUUGUUUCCUGGGUAAGUAAAUAAUAUUCAAUAAGUUUGUAUUGAGUGUCUACUAUGUUUUAUUAGGAACUUAUUUUGUACCUGGAUCUGUGUGAUAUGCUACCAAAUAUACUAGGGUAACAUUUUAGGUAAGCUAGGACUUUUUUCUACAAAAACAAAACUAUGGUAAUUUCUUAGUUUGGCAUGAUUAUGGUUUAUGAAACACUUUCAGUUGCAUUGUUUCAAGAUAACUGUGCUAAGGGCCACACAAAUACUUCAGUGACUCAGAGGCAGCAAUCCCAUCCAGUGUGGAAGCAUAGAGACUGUUAGGAAGAAGUUGGCAGUCAAGCUUGGCCCACCUUUAAGAAAGAGUAAACGGAUGAUGAAAAUCAGUUCCUCUGGUGGACUUGGAAGCUGUGUUUUAUAGGUCUAGAAAAGCCAUCUAGAUUAAGAAAAUUCUGGGUCAUUUUCUGAAAGGAGUCUCUAGUUUUAUUUAGCUGGAAUUUUGAUCAUGCUGCUUUCAAUGCUAUGUCAUGUAGGGUCUUAAGUGUCAGGUAAAGUAAUUAGGAUGUAAUUGAAAGUAGUGAGUGGCUAAUGAUGGUUUUUAAGCAUAGAAUAAUAAGAUGAUAGCUGUAUUCUAAAAAGAUUAAUCUGUCAGCAGUGUGUAAGAAGACCAUGUAUUUCAGGUACGGGGCAACAUGUGUCUCAAUUAUAGUGAUACUAGUGUGGAAAGAAUUCUGUUUUACAAAUCAGUUCUACAGGCUGUCCUGUCACACCGAAUGUGACAAUAUAGGGAAAGGAAAGCAUCCAAGAAGAACAGGAGCUGUACAGUUUAGAAUUGAGGACUGAAAUAACGAGGGCAAAUCCUUGAACAGCAAGAGACAUUCAGAGAAGAACAUGUGGAGAGGAAGGAGUAAAUAGCUUGAGGUAUUUGAGGAAUGAAUGUUGCACCCACGUAAAUUUUACAAAAGGCAUUCAGAAUCAUGGAUGGAGGUGGUCUAGAGUUGGUAUGGAGAUAAAGACUUCAUGCCUAUAUUCAAAGAUAUAAUAUUCAAAUAGGAGAAUUGAUGAAAUCCCUAAGGAAAAGACUACAUACAGUGAAAACCAGGGGUAUAUGACAUACAUUAAGGGGCACAUAUAUUUGGGAAGUAAAGAAACAUAAGGCAUUGGUGAAACAAUCAUAGGGAAGGAGAUUAUCAAGAGAAAAAAGUCACUUCAAAGGUAAAGCAAGUAACACAUACUAAAGAGAGAAAGAAUGGGAACCCUCCCCAGACAAGUAACGGGACUAGAUUUUAAGGGGCUUUUUGGAGACUUUCAAGUCAGCAGCUUUAGAACAAGUAGAGAAUUCAGUCAUGUAAGUGAUGAGGAAUGAACAAGGGAAGAAAGUUGAGGAAGUGUUUGUAGAAUAUGGAUUUAAGAGCCCUUAGAUAAGGGAAUGGAGAAAGGAGUAAUUUUAUGAGAUUGAGCCAAUGGGAGCUCUGUGUGUGUGUGUGUGUGUGUGUGUGUGUGUGUCUGUGUCUGUGUGUGUGUGUCUGUGUAUUGUUUGGUUGCUUGUUUUAUCUGUUCUGAAAUUGGGGCAGGGGAGAGAUGGAGAGAGAGAGAAGCUUUGAUGGAUCAAGAUUCCUUAGGAGGCCAGGCGCAGUGGCUCACGCCUGUAAUCCCAGCACUUUGGGAGGCCAAGGUGGGUGGAUCACGAGGUCAGGAGAUCGAGACCAUCCUGGCUAACAUGGCGAAACCCCGUCUCUACUAAAAAUACAAAAAAAAAAAAAAAAAUUAGCUGGGUGUGGUGGCGUGUGCCUGUAAUCCCAGCGACUCAGGAGGCUGAGGCAAGAGAAUCACUUGAACCCGGAAGGAGGAGAUUCCGCCUUCCAGAACUGCACUCCAGCCUGGGUGACAGAGAGAGACUCCAUCUCAAAAA
rnacentral:lncRNA from 1 species